GACGAACGCUGGCGGCGUGCUUAACACAUGCAAGUCGAACGGAAAGGCCCUGCUUUUGUGGGGUGCUCGAGUGGCGAACGGGUGAGUAACACGUGAGUAACCUGCCCUUGACUUUGGGAUAACUUCAGGAAACUGGGGCUAAUACCGGAUAGGAGCUCCUGCUGCAUGGUGGGGGUUGGAAAGUUUCGGCGGUUGGGGAUGGACUCGCGGCUUAUCAGCUUGUUGGUGGGGUAGUGGCUUACCAAGGCUUUGACGGGUAGCCGGCCUGAGAGGGUGACCGGCCACAUUGGGGCUGCGAUACGGCCCAGACUCCUACGGGAGGCAGCAGUGGGGAAUAUUGCACAAUGGGCGGAAGCCUGAUGCAGCACCGCCGCGUGCGGGAUGACGGCCUUCGGGUUGUAAACCGCUUUCGCCUGUGACGAAGCGUGAGUGACGGUAAUGUGUAAAGAAGCACCGGCUAACUACGUG
rnacentral:rRNA from 1 species